CUUCCAAAUUACUACAAAACAGGUUUGUCUGUUCUUUGUUUUGAGAAGAUUCGUACAAAUCAACUAUCCACAAAAAAAAACUAUAUGAGUAAACAUACAAAUAAAAAAAAAUACAUAAAUAUCAUUUUAAAAAGCUUAUGAUUCAAGCAAUCGCGGGCAAUGAACGACCUUCAUAAUAUAACAAAAGCACACACCUCAUGCAACUAAAUGAUUUUUAGUCUGAUUAUAAAUAAUAUCAUUUAAUAUGUUAAAAGGGAGAUACUAAGAAUUUUAAAAAGUGAAAACUGAAUUAUUUUAUCAAAAAGUUUAACAUUUUUAUUCCACUGAAAUGCUUUACAUAGGCUUUAAAUGGAUUCUACCAGUCGAUAUUUUUAUCUCAUGGUGGAAGAAAACAACAACAGAAAGUGGUGUGAAGGCAGG
rnacentral:lncRNA from 1 species